rnacentral:rRNA from 1 species
AGAGUUUGAUCAUGGCUCAGAACGUACGCUGGCGGCACGCCUAACACAUGCAAGUCGAACGAAGUAGCAAUACUUAGUGGCAGACGGGUGAGUAACAUGUAGGUAUCUACCCUUUGGCCUGGAAUAACACGAGGAAACUUGUGCUAAUACCGGAUAAGUCUUUACGGAGAAAGCUUUAUGCACCAAUGGAUGAGCCUGCACUUGAUUAGUUAGUUGGUAAGGUAAUGGCUUACCAAGACUUUGAUCAAUAGCUGAUUUGAGAGGAUGAUCAGCCACAUUGGGACUGAGACACGGCCCAAACUCCUACGGGAGGCAGCAGUGGGGAAUCUUGCACAAUGGAGGAAACUCUGAUGCAGCGAUGCCGCGUGAGUGAAGAAGGCCUUUGGGUUGUAAAGCUCUUUCGUCGGGGAAGAAAAUGACUGUACCCGAAUAAGAAGGUCCGGCUAACUUCGUGCCAGCAGCCGCGGUAAUACGAAGGGACCUAGCGUAGUUCGGAAUUACUGGGCUUAAAGAGUUCGUAGGUGGUUGAAAAAGUUGGUGGUGAAAUCCCAGAGCUUAACUCUGGAACUGCCAUCAAAACUUUUCAGCUAGAGUUUGAUAGAGGAAAGCAGAAUUUCUAGUGUAGAGGUGAAAUUCGUAGAUAUUAGAAAGAAUACCAAUUGCGAAGGCAGCUUUCUGGAUCAUUACUGACACUGAGGAACGAAAGCAUGGGUAGCGAAGAGGAUUAGAUACCCUCGUAGUCCAUGCCGUAAACGAUGUGUGUUAGACGUUGGAAAUUUAUUUUCAGUGUCGCAGUGAAAACGAUAAACACACCGCCUGGGGAGUACGACCGCAAGGUUAAAACUCAAAUGAAUUGACGGGGACCCGCACAAGUAGUGGAGCAUGUGGUUUAAUUCGAAGAUACGCGCAGAACCUAC